rnacentral:SRP_RNA from 1 species
GCCAGGUGUGGUGGUGCACACCUGUAAUCCCAGCUACUAGGGAGGCUGAGGCAGGAGAAUUGCUUGAACCUGGGAGGCAGAGGUUGCAGUGAGCUGAGAUUGCACCACUGCACUCCAGCCUGGGCAACAGAGCGAGACUCUGUCUCCA